CCAUUAGAAGACAAAGUAGAUUGCUUCUCGGCCUUUUGGCUAAGAUGAAGUGUAGAAGAAAAAGUAGAGAACAUGCUUCAACUUAUAGGUGCAGGAAAAGACUUUCUGAA
ensembl:miRNA